AGCCGUUGUUUUUGGUUCUUGCUCAAAAUGUCCAACAUUAUUUAGAACGGGCAGGAGACUACAAGGGUGCUGCAAAAGUGGCUCUCAAACAGGUUGAAUUCAUUUAUUAUAAACCACAAGGAGUGUAUGAUGCUAUGAGGAAGUUGGCUGAGCUUACGGAAGCUUUACUAAACCACAAGGAGUGUAUGAUGCUAUGAGGAAGUUGGCUGAGCUUACGGAAGGAGAAGGAGAGGCAGAGUCUAUAGAAGAAAACAAAGUGGUUGAGGAGAGUAGAGGUCCAACUGCAUUUGUUGCAACUCCAGAGCUUGUGCCCAGGAAAC
rnacentral:lncRNA from 1 species